GGUGACAUGGCCGAGCGGUCUAAGGCGCCAGAAUCAGGAUAAUCUCUCUGGGUAUCCAAUCUGGUCUUUCGGGGCGUGAGUUCGAAUCUCACUGUCAUCA
rnacentral:tRNA from 1 species